UUAAUGAGAGUUUGAUCCUGGCUCAGGACGAACGCUGGCGGCGUGCCUAAUACAUGCAAGUAGAACGCUGAGGUUUGGUGUUUACACUAGACUGAUGAGUUGCGAACGGGUGAGUAACGCGUAGGUAACCUGCCUCAUAGCGGGGGAUAACUAUUGGAAACGAUAGCUAAUACCGCAUAAGAGUAAUUAACACAUGUUAGUUAUUUAAAAGGAGCAAUUGCUUCACUGUGAGAUGGACCUGCGUUGUAUUAGCUAGUUGGUGAGGUAAAGGCUCACCAAGGCGACGAUACAUAGCCGACCUGAGAGGGUGAUCGGCCACACUGGGACUGAGACACGGCCCAGACUCCUACGGGAGGCAGCAGUAGGGAAUCUUCGGCAAUGGACGGAAGUCUGACCGAGCAACGCCGCGUGAGUGAAGAAGGUUUUCGGAUCGUAAAGCUCUGUUGUUAGAGAAGAACGUUGGUAGGAGUGGAAAAUCUACCAAGUGACGGUAACUAACCAGAAAGGGACGGCUAACUACGUGCCAGCAGCCGCGGUAAUACGUAGGUCCCGAGCGUUGUCCGGAUUUAUUGGGCGUAAAGCGAGCGCAGGCGGUUCUUUAAGUCUGAAGUUAAAGGCAGUGG
rnacentral:rRNA from 1 species